GGGAGCUGUUCUGACGUUUCCCCUCUCACCUCCGUAUCGGAACUUGAAAUUCUGGGCUCUUGUAUCUUCCAGUACCCCAGAACUUGGCUCGUUCACCCGUCACCUUAGUUUCAGGUUUGGGGCUGACCUGUGGAUUAUUCGAUUUACUUGUCAGCAAAGCCCCAGGACAGCGCCCGUCCUCCCGUCCCCGUGUCAGCCAGGGAGCAGGGCGCCUCCCAUCCGCUGCCCUAUCCUGCUGUCAGACCUCGACAAGCCCGCUUGUGCACCAGCGUCCUCCCCUGCAGAGCAUGGAUUCUGCUUCACCAGAGGGACCCAAAGCAUCUGUCUGGACCUGUUGUCGCUUCCCAGUGGAAAGGAAGACGUAACGUCACUGUGUGGCAGGCCUGGCCGGGGCCCCCUGGGUUCCUGCAUUCUUCUUCCCCACAAGAGUCCAGCCAUGUCAUCAGAAAGCAUCCUGAAGUAUU